AUUGAACGCUGGCGGCAGGCCUAACACAUGCAAGUCGGACGAGUGGCGGACGGGUGAGUAAUGUCUGGGGAACUGCCUGAUGGAGGGGGAUAACUACUGGAAAAGGUAGCUAAUACCGCAUACCAUCAGAUGUACCCAUAUGGGAUUAGCUAGUAGGUGAGGUAACGGCUCACCUAGGCGACGAUCCCUAGCUGGUCUGAGAGGAUGAACAGCAAAACUGGAACUGAGACACGGUCCAGAAUCCUACGGGAGGAAGCAGUGGGGAAUAUUGCACAAUGGGCGAAAGCCUGAGGCAGCCAUGACGCGUGUAUGAAGAAGGCAUUCGGGUUGUAAAGUACUGUCAGUCGGGAGGCGUUACCGACAGAAGAAGCACCGGCUAACUCCGUGCCAGCAGCCGCGGUAAUAC
rnacentral:rRNA from 1 species